rnacentral:rRNA from 1 species
UACGGAGGGUGCAAGCGUUAUCCGGAUUCACUGGGUUUAAAGGGUGCGUAGGUGGAUGUGUAAGUCUAUGGUGAAAUCUUUCGGCUUAACCGAAAAAUUGCCGUAGAUACUAUAUAUCUUGAAUACUGUAGAGGUGAACGGAAUAUGUCAAGUAGCGGUAAAAUGCAUAGAUAUGACAUGGAACACCAAUUGCGAAGGCAGUUUGCUAUGCAGUAAUUGACACUGAGGCACGAAAGCGUCGGGAGCGAAAGGG